AUACGGAGGAUCCGAGCGUUAUCCGGAUUUAUUGGGUUUAAAGGGUGCGCAGGCGGUAGAUUAAGUCGGCGGUGAAAUUUUGCAGCUCAACUGUAAAAGUGCCUUCGAAACUGGUUUCCUUGAGUGUAGAUGAAGUAGGCGGAAUUUGUGGUGUAGCGGUGAAAUGCAUAGAUAUCACAAGGAACUCCGAUUGCGCAGGCUGCUUACUAAACUACUAAUGACGCUCAGGCACGAAGGCGUGGGGAUCAAACAGGAUUAGAUACCCUGGUAGUCCACGCAGUAAACGAUGAUUACUAGCUGUUUGCGAUACAAUGUAAGCGGCUGAGCGAAAGCGUUAAGUAAUCCACCUGGGGAGUACGUUCGCAAGAAUGAAACUCAAAGGAAUUGACGGGG
rnacentral:rRNA from 1 species